AGCUGACUCUGGCUCUACAGCACAAUACACUCAGAAAUAAUAACAACAAACACACUUAAAACAGACGAAUAACAAAACAGUUUAACAGUUUUUCAUUAAACUACAUAGUUCUGGAUUUGAAAUCUUAUUGGCUUGUGGCUCAGGAGAGAGGAGAAAGAGGAGAGAGUGGGGUGGUUUGUCUAUAUAAUCACUCAUUGGCUGUUGUAGGCUCUAGGGUGGGCAUAGAAGCUCCUGUGCAGCAGGUCUAAUCCUUUGUUAACCUGUUGUUUCUCCUGAUUUACAGGCGAAAACGAGAAGAUUUACAUGGCUGCAAUAGCUGUACCUGUUGUCCUCGUCAUCCUUGUCAUUGCUGGUGUCUACAUCUAUCUGCGGUACAAAAGUCAACGUGAGUGAUCUUUGCUGAUUUUCUUUUCUAACUUUUCUUUUCUGAUCUGUUUUAUGUUUCAUCAACUCGUGGGACGGGAUGAACUCAAGCACCAAACAGAAACCGUCUGACCUGAUAUGAAUAAACACAACUAGGCUGAAACUGUAAAGUAGAGCUGAGUUUGUUCAGUCAGCAGAAAACAUCUGGUCACUUCAUACCCAAUCUGACGUCGUACAUGGUAUGAAGAGAACUUCAGUCAGCGAUUUUCAAACACUUCCUCUUAUUUCUGGUCUGUAUGUAGAGCGCCCGCCCGGUGCCCUCAGUCCAGAAUGUCAAAGUCAACAUAAAGCUUCGUUAAAAACAUCCUGACAUCGUGUUGAAGUCAUUCACAAGCUACAGCAGCUACAACACAAUAUCAUCACUCUGGUGGUUUGACUUUGCUGAAAUACACUUCUUAUUUCAUUUCAGUCAUGUCGUUUGGUUUAUUUAGACAAACUUUAAUCAAUACUUUGAUCAAAAAUCAGUUCUAACCUCAUCAUGCUGAUUCAGCAGCAGGGAACCAUAAAACCUUGGUUUGAUUUAGCAGAAAUACACUCUUCAUAUAAUUUUAACAUUUAUCUUCUCUACCCUCAUCACACCGGUCCAGAUCAACCUCAGGCUCAAAUUCAAGAUCCAGAUCCAUCCAACGAACCACCAGUCGAACAUGAUCCCCACGAUGGAGCUCAAACUGAAGAUGUAGAUGCAGCAGAACCUGCCCAAGACCCAGUUCUGGAGGAGGGUGAGCUGCAUUUAGUUGAUAACAGCGAGCUAGUUUGGAAAUGCCAACUGAGAUCAUUCAAAGAUAAUAACUCAUAAAAACAACAAUAAUAAUAUCAGUUCAUGUCUCUCUUUCUCUUUCUAACCUCUCAGCAGCUGAUGCACCUGAUGAAACUGUUUCACUGACUGGGACUGGAGCUGCUUAUCGCCGUCGCACAAAGUCGAGCGAGGACGCUGCUGCUUCACCAGAGAAAGAAAAUCUGUUGAAGUGAAAUGAAGACGGUGCCUCAGAUUGAGUCAGAAGUGUUUAUGACAACCUGGAUCAGAACUGAGUCAGGGAGGCAACAACCUGAAGAACUACUGCACAUAGACUAAAAUGAUCCUUGAAGACUUGAUCAGACAAACUCAGGUCCAUUAAACUGUGGUCCAUUAGCUGUUAGUCAAACUCUGGUGCUGAAUAAACAACCCGACAAAGCAAACGGACCAACAACAGUAUGUUGGGAUAGUUCUGAGUGUUUCUUCUCUGGUGUCACAAACAGCUGCCAGCUGGACUGUGGUUCUGGAGAAGAUGAUCUUUUCUUAAAUAUGGCAACUUUUAUCAACCACAUGAAGAAUUUCCCGUCUCAGAGGACUGAACAAAGGUCCGUUUAUUUCCACACACAGACUCGACCUUAUCGCCACAAUGAAGGCUCACAUCUAUUAUACCAUGGUCUGGGGGAAUACUCAAUUCUGAUUGGCUGCAGGGUGUCCAUUAACCCCUGAUAUAUGGACACCUACUAAGUAGUUCCAGUCAAAUUGACUGUUCACCGCUGUAAAUCAAUGCACUAGCUGGCGUAUCCAAUCUGAAUAUGUUAUUUCCAGCACUGAGUGCAGUCUGUCAGUCCUUCAGUGUCUUAUCCUCUGAACACCACAGGAUGGCGACUGUAACACACAAUCUGCAGAAAGUUCACUUCCCCUCUAAACUUACUGAUACGCGAAUAAUCUCACAUCCCGUUCACUGUUCAGCUCUCUGCUUCAGGCUGCGGCCACAGUAACGUUACACACGGCCGGUCAUUUGUUUGUGAAAAUCUUGCUGUUGAUUUGGGGACAAUGACAUGACUGGUUAGCUAGCUAAUCAUGUUAGCUAGCAUACUGUCAAAUUAUAUUUACUGUUUGUCAACCGUACGCAAUGUUAUUGACUUUGAAUCUUGCUAGCAUAGCGUUAGCUUUCUGGCUCAUCGCUGAGCGGACGAGAAUAUCUCCCGUUGCCGAGUCGUAUCUAUGAUCCGUCCUAUUUACUGGAGGAGUGAACAAGGUUUCUGUUGCAUAAGAAUCUUACGGGAGAUUAAUGACUGUUCCAGGUAUUAGUCAAACCCUCAGGCGUUACCAGGGAAACUUAGUUAUGGCUUGUGAAAAACUUUAUAUUUUGAUUGUAAAACACAUGAAAAUGUAAAUUAAUGGUCCGAAUUUCUUUUCUUUGUCAAGUGACCAUGGUAUAAGCGGGAUAAUGCCCUUCAAGGUGUCCAUAAUACAGGAGUUAAUGGACUUCGCGGAGGCAACCGUUCUUAGGCCUCCGCAUCGUCCAUUUACUCCUGUUUAUGGACACCUCGAAGGGCAUUAUCCCUUACUUAGUUCACACUGAACCAAGCAGCUCCAUCUGAAAGGCACUAAACUGGGUCCAGUUUAUAUAAACAGCCUGUCGGCCAAACGGAACCAAAAGUGGUGUGACGGUACACAUCAUGACGUUGACAUCCGUGUGUUUCUCAGUGUCACCUGUUAAUCUGAACAUGUACCUGCUGACUGUUUAUAAUCAUAUGGAUGCUGUUCUGAUGUGUUGUUAUUGAGGUCCAGACCCACCAAACAUCCUGGAAGGUGUCAAAGUUACGUUUUUUGCACUAAGUUACAUAAUUACAUCGUCACCAUCAGUGAACAGAACGCUGUCUACCUCUAUCACUCACAGGGAGGGAGGAUGUUUUCUGGGGAAAAGUUUUGGGCCGACCGUCGCUGUGAUUCUUUUCAAUACAAGUUAAAAGUUGGUAGGACAGACAGGAUGACAGACAGGAUGACAGACAGGAUGACAGACAGGAUGACAGACAGGACGACAGACAGGAUGACAGACAGGAUGACAAGUUUUUUCCUCAUUUAAGCUCCCAAAGACACUUCCAGUUACCUCAGUACUGUGUUUUGGUCCUGUUACGUUGCUUUGUGGGUUGAGGUUUGGAACAUUUCUUCUAUGUUUGAUGAGUGAAGGAAUUAUUUAUCUGUCAGACUGAACACCAUCAGACUGACACACUGCGGUCCACACUGACGCCAAACUGUCCUCCCUUAUUAUUAUCAGGACAUGAUUCCCACCUGGAAAGUGCUGUGUGAACGGGUCUGUGGUCUGUCGAUUUAUUAUGUUGUCUAUUUAUUUUUUUUUAGCUUUGAGUGUCCAGUGAGUGUUUCUGUAUCAUCUGUGUGUCUGAAUGUUGGGGUUUGUGUUGAAGUGUUGGAAUUUUUUAAAAAAUUAAACAAUGGUACUUGAAAAAGUAUUUGAUUUACUGUGUUGUCUUGUAUUUCACUAUAAAACUAAGUACAGAAAUGGUCAGAAGAAGUUGUGCGUGAACCAGAAUUGAGCGUAAAAACAGAAUAAUUAAGAAUAAACCAAAUGCUU
rnacentral:lncRNA from 1 species